rnacentral:rRNA from 1 species
UGUCCGGAUUUACUGGGUGUAAAGGGUGCGUAGGCGGCUUUGCAAGUCAGAUGUGAAAUCUAUGGGCUCAACCCAUAAACUGCAUUUGAAACUGUAGAGCUUGAGUGAAGUAGAGGCAGGCGGAAUUCCCCGUGUAGCGGUGAAAUGCGUAGAGAUGGGGAGGAACACCAGUGGCGAAGGCGGCCUGCUGGGCUUUAACUGACGCUGAGGCACGAAAGCGUGGGUAGCAAACAGGAUUAGAUACCCUGGUAGUCCACGCUGUAAACGAUGAUUACUAGGUGUGGGGGGUCUGA